GAUGAAGAACGUAGCGAAAUGCGAUACGUAAUGUGAAUUGCAGAAUUCAGUGAAUCAUCGAAUCUUUGAACGCACAUUGCGCCCCCUGGUAUUCCGGGGGGCAUGCCUGUUCGAGCAUCAUUUCACCACUCAAGCCUCGCUUGGUAUUGGGCAACGCGGUCCGCCGCGUGCCUCAAAUCGACCGGCUGGGUCUUCUGUCCCCUAAGCGUUGUGGAAACUAUUCGCUAAAGGGUGUUCGGGAGGCUACGCCGUAAAACAACCCCAUUUCUAAGGUUGACCUCGGAUCAGGUAGGGAUACCCGCUGAACUUAAGCAUAUCAAUAAGCGGAGGA
rnacentral:misc_RNA from 1 species